rnacentral:lncRNA from 1 species
GAGAUUUUGAGAGUUUGAAGAGAGGUUGAUCUGUUUUUCCUUUGUUCAGUGUGUGUAUCUUCCUGUUUCCAGAGGUAAGGGCAGUUUUAGACCCUGUUUAUAUGUUUUCUGAAGAGUGAAAGGAAGGAGAAGUAUGCUUAGGUUAUUCAUGGUAGUUUUUGAUGAUUUAUGUAUGUAUACAUGUUGAUGUGUUAUGUUUGUUUUGUUGUUUGGGGUUCUUAGCUAGUUUUGGACCCCUGUGAACAUAUACUUGAGUAUAUGUGUGUUGAAUACGUGAAGGAUGCAUGUUAGAAAGUGUUGAAGGGAAGGAGGAGAUGGUUUGCCGUUGAAACUGAGUUCUGGAUGAACUCAGGUUCGGCAGCCGAAAGUUCAUUCGGCCGCCGAACCUCUUGCAUGGUGGCUUGGCUGCCACAGCCUGUUUUGCAUGUUCGGCUCUGUUUGGGAGCUUCGGCCGCCGAAGGUGCCGCCGAAGGUACUUGAGUUUCGUCUCUGGAGAGGACAUUCGGCCGCCGAACCUGCCGCCUAAAGUGUCCUGUUCAGCUUUCUUUUG